CUGACCUGUACCUGGAAACAGCAGCCAUGCCACCUGCAGAUGAGUAUGCUCCAUGUGAAGCUAAGCAGGUUUGGGCUUGGCCAGUACUUGGAUGGAAGGCCAGCUAGGAAAACUGGGUUAGA
rnacentral:rRNA from 1 species